CACGUAGGGGGCAAGCGUUGUCCGGAUUUAUUGGGCGUAAAGAGCUCGUAGGCGGUUUCGUAAGUCGGGUGUGAAAACUCCAGGCUCAACCUGGAGACGUCGACGGAAACCAUCUGGCUAGAGUCCGGAAGAGGAGAGUGGAAUUCCUGGUGUAGCGGUGAAAUGCGUAGAUAUCGGAAGGAACACCAGUGGCGAAAGCGGCUUCCUGGUCCAGCACCGACGUUCAGGCACGAAAGCGUGGGGAGCAAACAGG
rnacentral:rRNA from 1 species